rnacentral:misc_RNA from 1 species
CCGAGUAGAGGGUCUCCUGGGCCCGCACUCCAACCCUUGCGUACACACUCACCGUUGCUUUGGCGGGUCAGCGUCGCCUUGCAGCUUGCACCGCUCGCAGGGUCGUACCCGGCCGGCUUCGUUCCGGUCACGCCUGCCGGAGUACUCUUCAAACUCGUGUUAAAAACCCGUGCAGUCUGAGCUCACCGAGCAAUCAAUCA